CCUCUUCUCUUUCUCUCAUUUUAGCAAGAAAAACCUUAAAUCAAUUGACAUCUAACUUUCUUCUUAGAAAUUUUCGUAGCCCUAAAUCUACAUUUUAGUUUGUGAGCAAUCAAAUUCGAGAUUUUCCCUAAGCUGGAAUCUCAAAAACUUACCAUUUUAGAAGGUCAUUUGAAAUCUGAAUCGGCCAAAACCUUCACGUCCAACAAACCGAACCGAUACCCAUCUUCCCGGAUUCUCAGAUUUCUCUGCUUGUCUCUUACCAUCUCGAUUAGUCGAACCUAUUUGUCUCUUAACGUCCUCAGUAGCCGAAGGUGAUACCCAUCUUCCCAAUACCUUGAAGUAAACUGAAUGGGAGCCAUAUGUUGUUUUUGCAUCAUCAAAGUUGAAAUUUUGUUAAGGUUUCUCGAAACGGAACUGGAGUUUUCCCUCUUGUGUGUGUUUUCCAAUUAAUCAAUCACAGAUAGAGAACGAAGAAAAUUCAGUAGAUAGGACAAAAAAUGCUGGAGAUGGAUAAUUGAAUUUAGAAACUGGAGAAACACAACCUCAAAGUGCUGGAAAAAUGAGGCUGAGCAAGCAAUAUUUGAGGAGAGGACAGAUUAAAAUAAAUUACACUCAAAUGACGAUGAGAAAAAUGUCGGAACAAAUUCGGUUAAUAUAGAAUUAGAAAGUACGAAUUUUGGCAUGUGAGCAUGUAUAUGCCAUAUGUAGUAAACUAAUGUGUUUCAUCUUCAUUUCCUUAGUGUUUGAUGAAUGGUAUGUGGGGAGCUGCCUAUGCCAUUUGUUUGAAGAUAUUAUAACAUGUUUGAUGAAUUACUGUCCAUAUAUGCUAAUAGUGUGUCUAAUCAAUAACUUUUAUUUUCAUAAGAUUUACUAAAAUUUAAUUUGUGCUCACUUGAGUAGGAUAUCGCUGCUUUUCGCCCAGGUACUUUGAUUUAUAUUAGAAUGAGAUGACUAUGUUAUGCACAACAUAGAAACAUGAUUUAAAUUGAAAGGAUGACAAUUUUUUUUUUGCUUGUGUUCAACCAAAUAGAAUUACAGGCAGCUCUUAGGAGAACAAGAAGGAUAAGUGGAGUCAUGUUUCCAUGGUAGCAAUUUAAAUAAAGUGCUUCUAGAAAUUUUCCAACAGUUUAAAGUGAUUCAUUCGGACGGUUGUAAACCAAUAUGAAUGUCAUAGGGAUAGCAAAUUAUGUGUAAUGCAAUUAUGAUGGAGAGGCAUUUAAUAGUAGGACAGGACAUGUAGUUGUUAAUGGUGAUAAAUAUCUUUAUAUAGUUGUUCAAUUGGUGCAUUGGAAAUAUUCCUAUGCAUGAAUA